rnacentral:rRNA from 1 species
GACGAACGCUGGCGGCGUGCUUAACACAUGCAAGUCGAACGGAAAGGCCCUGCUUGCAGGGUACUCGAGUGGCGAACGGGUGAGUAACACGUGGGUGAUCUGCCCUGCACUUCGGGAUAAGCCUGGGAAACUGGGUCUAAUACCGGAUAGGAGCCAUCCUUAGUGUGGUGGUUGGAAAGUUUUUUCGGUGUGGGGUGAGCUCGCGGCCUAUCAGCUUGGUGGUGGGGUAAUGGCCUACCAAGGCGGCGACGGGUAGCCGGCCUGAGAGGGUGGACGGCCACAUUGGGACUUAGAUACGGGCCAGACUCCUACGGGAGGGAGGAGGGGGGAAAAUUGGACAAAUGGGGGGAGCCUGAUGCAGCGACGCCGCGGGGGGGAAGACGGGCUUCGGGUUGUAAACUCCCUUCGGUAGGGACGAAGCUGUUUGUGACGGUACCUGGAUAAGAAGCACCGGCUAACUACGUG